UGGGGAAUUUUGGACAAUGGGCGAAAGCCUGAUCCAGCAAUGCCGCGUGUGUGAAGAAGGCCUUCGGGUUGUAAAGCACUUUUGUCCGGAAAGAAAUCCUUGGCUCUAAUACAGUCGGGGGAUGACGGUACCGGAAGAAUAAGCACCGGCUAACUACGUGCCAGCAGCCGCGGUAAUACGUAGGGUGCAGGCGUUAAUCGGAAUUACUGGGCGUAAAGCGUGCGCAGGCGGUUUGCUAAGACCGAUGUGAAAUCCCCGGGCUCAACCUGGGAACUGCAUUGGUGACUGGCAGGCUAGAGUAUGGCAGAGGGGGGUAGAAUUCCACGUGUAGCAGUGAAAUGCGUAGAGAUGUGGAGGAAUACCGAUGGCGAAGGCAGCCCCCUGGGCCAAUACUGACGCUCAUGCACGAAAGCGUGGGGAGCAAACAGGAUUAGAUACCCUGGUAGUCCACGCCCUAAACGAUGUCAACUAGUUGUUGGGGAUUCAUUUCCUUAGUAACGUAGCUAACGCGUGAAGUUGACCGCCUGGGGAGUACGGUCGCAAGAUUAAAACUUAAAGGAAUUGACGGGGUCAUAGCUGUUUCCU
rnacentral:rRNA from 1 species